rnacentral:tRNA from 1 species
AGCAGUGUGGCUCAGUGGAAAGAGCAUGGGCUUUUCAGUCAGGGCUCUUGAGUUCGAAUCUCAGCUCUGCCA